rnacentral:rRNA from 1 species
GCUCAAAUUUGAAAUCUGGCUUCGGCCCGAGUUGUAAUUUGCAGAGGAUGCUUUUGGUGCGGUGCCUUCCGAGUUCCCUGGAACGGGACGCCACAGAGGGUGAGAGCCCCGUAUGGUCGGACACCAAUCCUGUGUAAAGCUCCUUCGACGAGUCGAGUAGUUUGGGAAUGCUGCUCUAAAUGGGAGGUAAAUCUCUUCUAAAGCUAAAUACCGGCCAGAGACCGAUAGCGCACAAGUAGAGUGAUCGAAAGAUGAAAAGCACCUUGAAAAGGGGGUUAAACAGUACGUGAAAUUGUUGAAAGGGAAGCACUUGUGACCAGACUUGGGCCGGGCGGCUCAUCAGGGGUUCUCCCCUGUGCAUUCCGCCCGGUACAGGCCAGCAUCGGUUCUUACCGGGGGAUAAGAACGGCAGGAACGUGGCUCCCUCUCGGGGGAGUGUUAUAGCCUGCCGUACGAUACCCUGGCGGGGACCGAGGUUCGCGCUUCCGCAAGGAUGCUGGCGUAAUGGUUACUAGUGACCCGUCUUGAAACACGGACCAAGGAGUCGUCCAUUAGAGCGAGCGUUUGGGUGUAAAACCCGCACGCGUAAUGAAAGUGAAAUUAGGUGAGAGCUUCGGCGCAUCAUCGACCGAUCCUGAUGUUCUCGGAUGGAUUUGAGUAAGAGUUUUAACGGACGGACCCGAAAGACAGUGAACUAUGCUUGUAUAGGGUGAAGCCA